GACCUCAAAUCAGGUAGGACUACCCGCUGAACUUAAGCAUAUCAAUAAGCGGAGGAAAAGAAACUAACAAGGAUUCCCCUAGUAACUGCGAGUGAAGCGGGAAAAGCUCAAAUUUAAAAUCUGGCAGUCUCUUGGCUGUCCGAGUUGUAAUCUAGAGAAGUGUUAUCCGCGCUGGACCGUGUACAAGUCUCCUGGAAUGGAGCAUCAUAGAGGGUGAGAAUCCCGUCUUUGACAUGGACUACCAGGGCUUUGUGAUGCACUCUCAAAGAGUCGAGUUGUUUGGGAAUGCAGCUCAAAAUGGGUGGUAAAUUCCAUCUAAAGCUAAAUAUUGGCGAGAGACCGAUAGCGAACAAGUACCGUGAGGGAAAGAUGAAAAGAACUUUGGAAAGAGAGUUAAACAGUACGUGAAAUUGCUGAAAGGGAAACGCUUGAAGUCAGUCGCAUCAUCCAGGGAUCAACCUUGCUUUUGCUUGGUGCACUUCCUGGUUUGAUGGGUCAGCAUCAAUUUUGACUAUUGGAAAAAGGUUAAGGGAAUGUGGCAUCUUUGGAUGUGUUAUAGYCCUUGGUCACAUACAAU
rnacentral:rRNA from 1 species